GUGCAAAGGUAGCAUAAUAAUUUGCCUUUUAAUUGAAGGCUAGUAUGAAGGGACAAACAAGAAUAGCCCUGUCUCGUUCAGAAAACAAAAAUCUGCCCUGGAGGUGAAAACCCCUCCAUAAGCAUAAAAGACAAGAAGACCCUAUAGAGCUUCAUUUAUAUAAGCUAAUUACUAUUUAUAAAUUUAGUUGGGACAACUAAAAACCAGAUAAACCGUUUUUUCUAAAAACACCUUCCCUACAACGAGUUAGAAUAUAGCUACCUUAGGGAUAACAGACUAAUUUUACUAGAGAGAUCACAUUGACAGUAAAGAUUGGCACCUCGAUGUUGGCUUAGUGUUACUAUUGGGCGCAGAAGCCUAAUAAGUUGGUUUGUUCAACCAUUAAAUCACUACGUGAUC
rnacentral:rRNA from 1 species